CCUACGGGGGGCAGCAGUGGGGAAUAUUGCACAAUGGGGGAAACCCUGAUGCAGCGACGCCGCGUGAGUGAAGAAGUAAUUCGUUAUGUAAAGCUCUAUCAGCAGGGAAGAAAAUGACGGUACCUGAGUAAGAAGCCCCGGCUAACUACGUGCCAGCAGCCGCGGUAAUACGUAGGGGGCAAGCGUUAUCCGGAUUUACUGGGUGGAAAGGGAGCGUAGACGGCAGUGCAAGUCUGGAGUGAAAGGCGGGGGCUCAACCCCCGGACUGCUCUGGAAACUGUACGGCUGGAGUGCAGAAGAGGUAAGUGGAAUUCCUAGUGUAGCGGUGAAAUGCGUAGAUAUUAGGAGGAACACCAGUGGCGAAGGCGGCUUACUGGACUGUAACUGACGUUGAGGCUCGAAAGCGUGGGGAGCAAACAGGAUUAGAUACCCCUGUAGUC
rnacentral:rRNA from 1 species